rnacentral:rRNA from 1 species
UUUAUGGAGAGUUUGAUCCUGGCUCAGAGUGAACGCUGGCGGCGUGCCUAAUACAUGCAAGUCGAACGAUGAAGUCCUAGCUUGCUAGGAUGGAUUAGUGGCGCACGGGUGAGUAAUAUAUAGUUAAUCUGCCCUACACAGAGGAACAACAGUUGGAAACGGCUGCUAAUACCUCAUACUCCUAUUUGACAUAAGUUAAAUAGGGAAAGUCUUUUCGGUGUAGGAUGAGACUAUAUCGUAUCAGCUAGUUGGUAAGGUAAUGGCUUACCAAGGCUAUGACG